rnacentral:rRNA from 1 species
CUACUCCUACGGGAGGCAGCAGUAGGGAAUCUUCGGCAAUGGGGGCAACCCUGACCGAGCAACGCCGCGUGAGUGAAGAAGGUUUUCGGAUCGUAAAGCUCUGUUGUAAGAGAAGAACGUGUGUGAGAGUGGAAAGUUCACACAGUGACGGUAACUUACCAGAAAGGGACGGCUAACUACGUGCCAGCAGCCGCGGUAAUUA